rnacentral:rRNA from 1 species
CAGGAUUAACGCUGGCGGCGCGCCUAACACAUGCAAGUCGUACGAGACUCCUUGAACAGCGGCUUCGGCCAAUGGGAUAGGAUGUUCUAGUGGCGAACGGGUGAGUAACACGUGGGUAAUCUACCUCCACCACAGAAAUAACCUCGAGAAAUCGAGGCUAAUGUCCGAUAGUAUCCUGUUACUUUGGUUUCAGGAUUAUAAAGGUUGAGAGUAAUCUCAGCUGGAUGGAGAUGAGCCCGCGACCUAUUAGCUUGUUGGUAGGGUAAUGGCCUACCAAGGCAACGAUGGGUAGCCGAUUUGAGAGGAUGUACGGCCACACUGGGAUUGAGAUACGGCCCAGACUCCUACGGGAGGCAGCAGUGGGGAAUUUUGGACAAUGGGGGAAACCCUGAUCCAGCGACGCCGCGUGAGGGAUGAAGGCUUUCGAGUCGUAAACCUCUGUCAGAGAGGACGAUAUUGACGGUACUCUCAGAGGAAGCCACGGCUAACUCCGUGCCAGCAGCCGCGGUAAUACGGGGGUGGCAAGCGUUAUCCGGAUUUACUGGGCGUAAAGGGCGUGUAGGUCUCUCUAUAAGUCUGAUGUGAAAUCUUUCCGCUUAACGGAAAAACGGCAUACGAAACUGUAGGGAUUGAGUACAGGAGAGGAGAGUGGAAUUCCUGGUGUAGCGGUGACAUGCGUAGAUAUCAGGAGGAACACCGGUGGCGAAGGCGACUCUCUGGCCUGAUACUGACACUGAGACGCGAAAGCUAGGGGAGCAAACAGGAUUAGAUACCCUGGUAGUCCUAGCCGUAAACGAUGCUCACUAGGUGUAGGAGGUGUUAAUUCCUUCUGUGCCGCAGCUAACGCAUUAAGUGAGCCGCCUGGGGAGUACGACCGCAAGGUUGAAACUCAAAGGAAUUGACGGGGGCCCGCACAAGCGGUGGAGCAUGUGGUUCAAUUCGACGCUACGCGAGAAACCUUACCGGAAUUUGACAUCCUGAUGAUCGUCCCGGAAACGGGAUUUCCCUUCGGGGCAUCAGGACAGGUGGUGCAUGGCUGUCGUCAGCUCGUGUCGUGAGAUGUUGGGUUAAGUCCCGCAACGAGCGCAACCCCUACUCUUAGUUGCCAGCUGGUAAUGCUGGGCACUCUAGGAGAACUGCCCCGGACAACGGGGAGGAAGGUGGGGAUGACGUCAAGUCCUCAUGCCCCUUAUAUUCCGGGCUACACACGUGCUACAAUGAUCGGUACAGAGGGUUGCCAAUCCGCGAGGAGUAGCCAAUCCCUAAAAGCCGAUCUCAGUUCGGAUUGAAGGCUGAAAUUCGCCUUCAUGAAGCUGGAAUCGCUAGUAAUGGCGCAUCAGCACGGCGCCGUGAAUACGUUCCCGGGCCUUGUACACACCGCCCGUCACACCAACCGAGUUGGGUGUACCCGAAGUCGUUUUCCUAACUCUUGCUUUCAGUAGGAGAUGGAGACGCCUAAGGUAUGUCUGGUAAGGGGGGUGAAGUCGUAACAAGGU